rnacentral:piRNA from 1 species
UAGGUGAUGAUGGCUGGGCAUUGAGUUA